UACGUAGGUGGCAAGCGUUGUUCGGAAUUAUUGGGCGUAAAGGGCGCGUAGGCGGUUUUGUUAAGUCGGCUGUGAAAGCCCGGGGCUCAACCCCGGAGGGUCAGCCGAUACUGGCAGACUAGAGUACGGAAGAGGUAGCUGGAAUUCCCGGUGUAGCGGUGAAAUGCGUAGAUAUCGGAAGGAACGCCGGUGGCGAAAGCGACCCGCUGGACCUCUUCUGACGCUGAGGCGCGAAAAGCUAGGGGUAGCGAAACGGGG
rnacentral:rRNA from 1 species